GAUGAACGCUAGCUACAGGCUUAACACAUGCAAGUCGAGGGGCAGCAUGGUCUUAGCUUGCUAAGGCCGAUGGCGACCGGCGCACGGGUGAGUAACACGUAUCCAACCUGCCGUCUACUCUUGGACAGCCUUCUGAAAGGAAGAUUAAUACAAGAUGGCAUCAUGAGUCCGCAUGUUCACAUGAUUAAAGGUAUUCCGGUAGACGAUGGGGAUGCGUUCCAUUAGAUAGUAGGCGGGGUAACGGCCCACCUAGUCUUCGAUGGAUAGGGGUUCUGAGAGGAAGGUCCCCCACAUUGGAACUGAGACACGGUCCAAACUACUACGGGAGGCAGCAGUGAGGAAUAUUGGUCAAUGGGCGCAGGCCUGAACCAGCCAAGUAGCGUGAAGGAUGACUGCCCUAUGGGUUGUAAACUUCUUUUAUAAAGGAAUAAAGUCGGGUAUGUAUACCCGUUUGCAUGUACUUUAUGAAUAAGGAUCGGCUAACUCCGUG
rnacentral:rRNA from 1 species